rnacentral:tRNA from 1 species
GGGGGAUUAGCUCAGCUGGCUAGAGCACCUGCCUUGCACGCAGGGGGUCAACGAACUGGCCGUCCGCGUUCGAAUCCGUUUUCUCCA